rnacentral:misc_RNA from 1 species
CUGAUUAUUACAAGCAAAAGUAUGACCCACAUUACUUUUUCACCUUUUUUUUCCUUUCUCCCUUGAUGAAAAAUUUUCUUUUCCCUUCAGACAAGGGGAAUGCCUUGUUAAUUGCUCUUUUCUAACGCUAGGACUGGAUAGCGUCAGUGCACUUCUGAUGUUGUGCCUGGAAGGGAAAGCUUAUCUGAAUCAGUGAUGGAAUUAUUUUACUGUCUGCUGUAAGUUAAGUGGGCUUUGUCACUAGGUUCAACACUUUUUUCAUUGGCAGUAGUUCAUAAGUCUUCGCAGAUUAGAGAAGCUUUUGUUUCUUCUUGGCACAACAGAGGCUGCAUUGGGCUGUCGGGUCUUUUUAUGUACCAUUAUCAGGUAUGGAGUUGAAUUGAUAUUUAAGCAACAA